rnacentral:rRNA from 1 species
AUUGAACGCUGGCGGCAGGCCUAACACAUGCAAGUCGAACGAGUGGCGGACGGGUGAGUAAUGUCUGGGAAACUGCCCGAUGGAGGGGGAUAACUACUGUAAACGGUAUCUAAUACCGCAUACCAUCGGAUGUGCCCAGAUGGGAUUAGCUAGUAGGUGGGGUAACGGCUCACCUAGGCGACGAUCCCUCGCUGGUCUGAGAGGAUGACCAGCCACACUGGAACUGAGACACGGUCCAUACUCGUACGGGAGGCAGCAGUGGGGAAUAUUGCACAAUGGGCGCAAGCCUGAUGCAGCCAUGCCGCGUGUAUGAAGAAGGCCUUAGGGUUGUAAAGUACUUUCAGCGAGGAGGCGUUACUAGCAGAAGAAGCACCGGCUAACUCCGUGCCAGCAGCCGCGGUAAGGC